rnacentral:lncRNA from 1 species
AGAGCCUCCGGGGGGCGGAGCCCUGGCGGCACCCCCUCUUUCGCCCUGCCCUCCUUCUCCUUCCACCCACCCACCCCGACACCCCUUGUCCCUCCCCCAACCACUCUGAACGGAUAGACAGGGGGAGAUUCAUCUUCGUCGUCGCACCCAGCUGCUGCUACUGCCAGUGCCACGUGCCUUGCAAGAUAAAGAAGCACCAGCAGAGCUGGCGAGCAGAAACCUGGCCUCAGGGCAAAAGAGAUGCCACAGAAAUAGUUACACAGGCCUCGGAAGGGAAGCCUCCACUGCGUGUACGGCCCCCGUGGACUGCCACAGGAUUUCCUAGGAUCCUCCUGGAAGCCUCAAAGAAUGGGUCAGAUUUUUUGGAUUCUAAGCAUCAUGACACUCUAUAAAAGAGAGCCUGGAGCAACCUUGAAAUUAAGCCACACAGGCAGCCAUUUACUUGGUUAAUGAACAUUGCUAUUUCAUUGGUUUUAAGAAUCUGAGCUUAACAGAAUUCUCAUGAGCAGUUGAAGAUACCCCACCAAUAUUUCCUUUCGGAGAGGAGUCCUGGAUGCUAAAACUGAACUAAUAAUUCCUCAGCCAGAGUUCCUGCAGGUCAGUGUCUAUUCUCCCUCCUGAUGGUAACAGCAUCCCAACAGUGUUUUGGAGAAUCACUCCUCUGCUAUUAGAUGUAUGAAGUAGUGGUACCUGUCUUCCUCUGGCUAACAGGUGGGCACACAUGCCCUAAAUUGGCCUGAUGCCUUUUCUCUGGAAUUGAAGUCUUGGGGAAUGUGUUCAAAGUAGAGUCAUUCCAGCAGUGGCCUCCUGGAGAGAUUGUUCCUUCAUUCCUGCUGCACCAGUGCCCAGAACAGCUCUGGUUUCUGGCCUUUCUGAACGUCAGUUCUUUAGAUUUUCCUCUAGCUCUGUGAGUGACCCGACUUCUUUCAGUGUGUUUUCUUUUUCUCCCAUUAGAGAAACUCAAAAUGACUGAUGUGGCUUGCAACUAAAGAACACUUACUGAUGAUCACCCCGAGUGAGGGGACAACUAGCAGCACCUCCUGUAUCACAAUGUCCAUGGAGAUGUGGCUGCCUUCCUCAUGGAAUGGUCUUUAUUUUCUGGGGGUUCAAUUUGAGAGGCGAAACUCAAUGUGAGUCUUUUGACCCCUGUCUGAAUUGGAUCAUGGAGCUAUCCUAGAAGGGAAGUAACCUAGAAACAGGCUCUUUGAUCUUUGGGUAGAGUGGGAAUGAGUGUGGGAGAAUUUGGCAAGAGCUGGACAGAGGAUCAGGGUCCUGGACAAACCAGCUGGAGUUCAGGAGAGUGCUUCAGUCUCACUAGAAAAUGAAAUUCGCUCCUAAAACCAAGGACACAAAAACUCACAUUGUGCCUUGGGAGGCACAAUCACUGGGGUCCCUUCAGGCUCAGCAAGUAAUGGAAUUAAGGGGCCAAGACCAAUUGAGGAAGGAACCAAUUUUGGAUACUGGGGUACCUGGCUGAAUGAUUCAGAGGAGUCACAUGCAAAUGGGUGUAAAAUUUAUGCUGAAAAACCAUGUUCUUCUGUAGCCAUGAGACUGGAGAAUAUCUUUGUGGGUAAGAUGAAUGUCUCUUCUUCUGGGAUGUUUUCUUUGUCAUUUCCCCUUUUCCAUCUCUCCUCCCUGUGUUAGCUUUGAUGCUCUUUCCAUGUGCCCCAAUGGUAACCUCUACUUGACCUGUCAUGGUGCCUGUAAACUUCAUAUUAUGUAUUUAUUUCCCCAACCAGACAGUGGACUUCACAAAAGAACAACCUUCUUCCUACUUCUUCACCUUCAUAUCCUCAAUGUCAAGUACAGUGCCUGACACUUAACAAAAAUAUGAAUACCGAAUAAGCAAAAAAGAGGCUAAGGAGUUUAUCAGAGGGGUAGAAGGAGAUUCUGUGAAAAGCAAGGCAAUGAAAAGUCCUUUUAACUUCUUGCAGUAUUAUAUUAAGUGAUGUGUUUACAAAGUAUUUUAUUUGAGGUCAAUUCUAAAAGGUAAAAAUAAGAAGUCCCCUGGCAGUAAUUAUGGGAUUUUUAAUAAUAAGGUGAAACUUCUCUAAGUCAUGUUAAAUCUUUUCACACAGGAUAUUUUUUAUUUUGCAAGACCCAUCAGCUAAUAUAUGUAGGAAAUCGUUUCCCUUCACAAUGACAUAUAACAAUUUUAAUAGCACCUAUUAAAGUACUUUACACAUAAUAGUUGUUUAAAACUGUUUGUUGACAGAGAAGAUAUAUUCAGCAAAAUUGUCCUCUUUCUAUAAAAUACUUUUAAGGCUAAGAAUAUCUACUCACUGUUUAGUUCUGUAAUAGCUCACAUUGCAGCAAAAGAUUAAAUGAGAAUAAAAAAGCAACUAUUCUCUAUCUUUUUAUGAUACAAACUUUGUAUCAUAGCUCAUGCUUGCUCUUCUAACCAAUGAGGUGGGGAUUUUAAGCUGGAUUGCACCACAUCUUGUCAUGGGACACAAAGAACAGUUGAUAAUCUUAACUGCACACAUAAAUUGCAUUAAACUCUUAAUCCUACUUGAGAGAAUAGUUCCAUUUACCUAGGGAGAAAGAGUCACUUUCUUCUUUUUGCUGGAAAAUAAAAGCUUGUGAUAUUUGGAAAUGUUAGACUCUGCCAAUGGACUCAUGUCUCUAUAAAUCACCAUAGACAGUGAUUCCUUGCAAAACAGGUUUCAUGUAAUAUUUAUGUAAGCUGCACAUGACCUUGAAUGAAAGCAAGGUUUAGAAGAAACAGGGUUCUUAUUGUUCGACAGAAUGCUUCUCUAUUUUGUCAAAUAUUACUUAGGUCACAUGCGAAUUUUUUUUUGAACUGAAUAAAUGUUUAUUUUAAAGCU